GUUGUCUAUGUUAUGUUUUGAGCGCGGGAGAAUGAGGUGCAGUGUAUGGAUAAGAGGAUGAUAAUGCAUGACAGCUGACACUGUAUCAACAUUUUGUAAUAGUGACACCGAAAUGUUUGAAAUUACGUGCAGUACUACUCUCUUUACUGUUGGGACCUUUCCCAUGGUUUUCGUCUUGGAGGAAAAUGAUGAAAACAAAAUUAUCGCCCAAAUGAUCCAGCAUGGUGGUGGCUGCGUAGCUUCUUUAAGAGGACCAUAUGGCAUUUGCCUAUCAUCUCCUGAAAAUUUGCUGUUGUUACAAAAUGAAGCAGUUUUCUCCACUGAAUUCAUCAAGGACUGCUGUAUAGCCAAUAGGAUUUUGGAUAUAAAUCAGUACAGGUUAGGUGGUCCUUCCAGUUAUCCUGAUAACUUCAAUGCUAUGAAGGUGCUCCUGAGGCAGUCUCACUGGCCAACACCUGCAGAAAGGGAUGAAAAUGACUCAGCUAAUACUGAUAAGCACUCAGAUUCUGAUACUACUGUGGAGUCUCAGAAUUCUAGAAGAAACAUGAGUUCACAUAGAAGCAGAACAUUCUCUGGAAAUGAAGAGAGAGAAAUUCUUCGUUGCAUUGUAGAGAACAAGGAGAUUGGUCUCAUUUUGGGAAAUACUCUUUGGAAGAAAAUUGCACAAAAAAAGCUGCAGGGUCGAACAUGGCAGUCACUGAAGAAGCAUUUUCUGAAACACAUGUUGCCCAAUAUUACAAAGUAUACAUUUUUGUCUGUAACGGACAGACUUGAGUUCCAGAAACACGGGAAGGUGCCUGCAGACAGUCAUGAUGUAACAAAUUCAGAAAGUAAACUACAAUCUGGUUCAUCAGUUCCAAGAACAAUCAGCCUGCAUAAACCAGCAGAAAGUGGUGGUACUGAAAGUUCUUCAAGGGCUAUCAGCCAGAAACAUGUGGAGGAACUUAGAUCAAGUAGAUUGCUCAGCCCCUGUGGAUCUUCUGUAAGUACUGGUGCCAGCAGUCUUGAAAGGGGCUGUGGUCAGAGGCUCCCAGAGAAACGUAAACCAUUCAGAAUCAUCAGAUUCCGUGAAUCUUCUGAAAGUGACAGUGAUGGUUGUCCAGGAAAUACAGACGAUCAGAGACUUCAAGAUAUAUGUCGGGUAAAUAGAUCUACCAGCUCACGGGUAUGUCAUGAGAACGAAGGUGGCAGAUGUCCCGGGAAACAGGAUGACCUGCAGCACCUAGAGAAAAACAAAGAACAUACCAUACAAAGGCGACAGUUGGUCAUUAACAGUUGUGAUGAGAUGAAUUCAGGUACUGAGGAGCAUCAUAGAGCUCCAGUUGUACAAAGAACAAAUAGAGAUCGGAGAAAAUCUCAAGAUAGUUCUUCAUCUGAUGACUGGUUUGCGGCAACGACUCAAGAACGACAGAACGUGAAUGUCAAAGCCAUCAGUCAGAAGUCUAAGAAGUUGAGGAAAAGACAUAGGGAAGAAUUUACAAUGGAAGAAGAAUAUGCCAUAGUCACAUACCUCCAGAAGCAUAACAGGUUUAGUAAUACUGGAGGCAAUGUUGUAUGGAAGAAUAUGGCAGCAACAGAGCCAAUGGGAAAUCGUCAUACAUGGCAUUCGCUGAGGGAACGGUACCUGAAGAAGAUUGUGCCAAAUAUUAAUAAAUACAAUUUGCCAGAAGAAAUAGUGAGACGUAUUAAGUACAAGUGAAGUGCAGCAACCAGGAAACUGCGCUGUGAAGAAAACUCUGAAAUGUAUAAGCGUAAAACAAAUUUGAAAUGUUUGUGAUUGGAGAAAGAAGUUGAGGACUACAAAAAAUUGUGCACUAUUUAAAUUAUUUCAUUUGCCACAUGUUCUGAACAGAUACCCUUGCAGUUUGUAAGUGUGUGUGUGUAGGUCAAAAGGAUCACAACCAGUAGCAAAAAAAGUGGGCAAACACAGUCUGUUUGCGUGAUCUACACUUACUGCGUACAGCAUAACGACUUUCAUUUCCCAUGUAAGAGAAUAGGCAGAAUUAGCCAGAGGAACCAAAAUCAUGCAGAGGUCAGGAUAAAAACUGUUAUAUCCAGCUCAUGUGAAAGUGCAUUGUUAAUAAUUGUAAAAUUCCACUUGUGUGUUAUUAUAAAGUUUUCAGAUAUAUGUGGUACAUUAGGAAAAUUUGCUGAUUUUUGUCUCCUUGCAUUUUUAACAUUGUUUUGAGUGCAUUUAUGCUUCUUUAAAUUUAUUUAAGCUGCAUUUAUUUAUUAUUUAAUUUUUUAAAAAUUUGUUAUUUAAAAUUGGUUCUUUUGUAUUUAUGCCUUUGUAAAUUUCCU